rnacentral:antisense_RNA from 1 species
UUCUAUGGCGGGUCGGGCGGGGAGACCUUCGGGUCUGCCGGUUUCGUUGAGCCGGUUCGCCAACCCCGUUCGGCUUGCCACCCCC